GAUCGGACUUCCUGGCCCCGGGUGAGGAACCUCCGUUAGGUGAACCAGGGAGUUUCGCGGCCCGGGGAUGAUAGGCUUAAAGAGGUAAGGGAUGCAACCCUCGCACAAGACGAUCCAGAGGGUAAGAAGUCGCAAAACGUUGGAAGAAAACCGGCCCUGAACUGCAGGAUGGCGACUUCCGCAGGCUCCUGGGUCACCUGGAAACCCGGAGGUCUUGUCUCUAGACCCACCUGGAAUGUGAAAGGAGACUGUAGGCUUCCUUCCGUGAGGUCUUGUUUGAUCCCUUCACAAGUGGCAUGGAGAAAAUGUUGGGACCAAGACUUUCCAGUAUUCCUGAAGUAAAGAAAGAUACUACCUGCUUUGGGAGGUGAAUAUGUGGCCAUCUUGUUUCCAAAGAGUCACAUCUCCACAAAUGGUCAGGGACACAGUUUUCCAGUAGAAAGAUGCCAUGCUUUAGUUUCUUCCAAUUUAAAUGUUAUGGGUAUGGUAGUUUGAAUAAAAAUGGCUCCCAUGGGCUCAUAGGGAGUGGCACUACUUAAAAGUACUAGAAUGUAUGGCCUUGUUAGAGUAGCUAUGACUCUGUCCCCUUCCGAUGAGCUGCUGUGUUCUGAUUGGUUGUUGCCAUCACACUCUACACUCCUGGUAACAGUGAUCAUGUCAGAUUUGCUUCCUAACAUAUCCCUGCAUCCAUACAAUGACUGGCAAGUCUGCCACUGAAGUUAUUGAUACACAAGUGACCAUAUAAAGGGUUAAAGGUGUUCCCAAGGACUAGAAGCAGAUCUGUAGGUACUUGGCACCUUACAGUGGAUGAACCAGCAGUGAAGGGGAUGUAUUGAGCACAUGAAUUGAGCCUUGACUCAGAGGCAGAUGCAUUCCUGAAAGAUAAGUUCACCCGAUGAGUGCCUGAGAAGGAGUAACUGAAAAUAAAUGUGAUGGAAACCAAAAA